rnacentral:rRNA from 1 species
AACGAACGCUGGCGGCAUGCCUAACACAUGCAAGUCGAACGAGACCUUCGGGUCUAGUGGCGCACGGGUGCGUAACGCGUGGGAACCUGCCCUUAGGUUCGGAAUAACUCCCCGAAAGGGGUGCUAAUACCGGAUAAUGUCUUCGGACCAAAGAUUUAUCGCCUUUGGAUGGGCCCGCGUUGGAUUAGCAAGUUGGUAGGGUAAAAGCCUACCAAGGCGACGAUCCAUAGCUGGUCUGAGAGGAUGAUCAGCCACACUGGGACUGAGACACGGCCCAGACUCCUACGGGAGGGAGCAGUGGGGAAUAUUGGACAAUGGGCGAAAGCCUGAUCCAGCAGUGCCGCGUGAGUGAUGAAGGCCUUAGGGUUGUAAAGCUCUUUUACACGGGAUGAUAAUGACAGUACCGGGAGAAUAAGCACCGGCUAACCCCGUG